GGGUAUAUGGUCUAGUGGUAUGAUUUUCGCUUCGCAUGUGAAAGGUCCCCGGUUCGAUCCCGGGUAUAUCCA
rnacentral:tRNA from 1 species